AUUGAACGCUGGCGGCAGGCCUAACACAUGCAAGUCGAACGAGUGGCGGACGGGUGUGUAAUGUCUGGGACACUGCCUGAUGGAGGGGGAUAACUACUGGAAACGGUAGCUAAUACCGCAUACCAUCAGAUGUGCCCAGAUGGGAUUAGCUUGGUGGUGGGGUAACGGCUAACCAAGGCGACGAUCCAUAGCUGGUCUGAGAGGAUGACCGGCCACACUGGAACUGAGACACGGUCCAGACUCCUACGGGAGGCAGCAGUAGGGAAUAUUGCACAAUGGGCGAAAGCCUGAUGGAGCAAUGCCGCGUGAGUGAAGAAGGCCUUCGGGUUGUAAAGUGCUUUCAGCAGGGAGGCGUUACCCGAAGAGAAAGCAACGGCUAACUCCGUGCCAGCAGCCGCGGUAAUAC
rnacentral:rRNA from 1 species